rnacentral:lncRNA from 1 species
UAUGUAGCUAUGCAUAUAAUAGAAAUAUCUUUAGUUGAGGUUUUUUGCUUUAUGGUAUAUGCCAAUACAAUUUAACUUACAUACCUUGUACGCAUAUCAUUCAUCAAUGAUAAACAUAUAGCUAAAAUUAUAAUUUUUUCCUUUUUUAAGCACCGGUCAUUAAAAAAAUACUCAGGCAAUAGAAAAGCUGCCUUAAUGGCGGAUAGAAAUCAUGAAAAUGGCCAGACCUUUGGAAAAACACACGAUGACAAAAGGGCUAGGAGACGCGAAUUAUAUAGACUUAUGCCACCUGAUAAAAAAGAGGCCCUUUUGGCACGAUGACGUGCAAACGGAGCUGAAUUGAAAAGACGGCGGCUUACUGAAAGUUCAAUUAGUGUUGAUGCUGCUAAUGCAUCAUCAUCUAAUGCUGCCAUGUUUCUGCCAUCCAGAGGUCUCUUAAUAUAAAAGACUCAUUGCCCUUUUCAAGAAGAAGAACAGGUAAGAUUAAAAUUCAAAAUUUGUUUAAACUACAUCUAUUAAGAACAAUAGUAAUUACUUCUUUUCUAGGUUAAUAAUAUCCUCAUAACUAGAGUUCUCAUAUGCAGGGUAUGUUUUCACAGAACCUGGUUGUUCGAGUAGUAUGCAAGCAAAAAAUACGUAUGUCAAAUUAAAGGAUGUAACGAAAUGCCAAUUUUGUGGAGCAAAAAGGUUUGAAUAUGAACUGCCUGCAUUUUGUUGUGGCAACGGUUCUAUUCAAUUAAUAUCCCAUGAAAUGCCAACAGAGUUAAGAAACCUUUAUCUAGGAAAUAGGGAAGAAUCAAAAUAUUUUCGAACUUACAUUAGAACAUACAAUAACAUAUUUGCGUUCACAUUCCUUAGAGUAACAUAUGACAAAGAGCUAGCAAAGAGAAAUAGUGGUAUUUAUACAUUCUGUGUUCAAGAGCAGGUGUAUCACUUUAUAAAUGACUUGAUACCAACUGAUCAAAAAGGAAAAAACCUUCAGUUAUACUUCUUUGAUAAUGAAAAUGAAGUAAGAAACCGAAUGUCAUGUUCAAACAAACUGAAUGAAAAUAUUGUAAAGAGUUUGAUGGAUAUAUUAAAAUUUAAUCCGUACUCAAUGUUUUUGAAAUCCUUAAUAAAUAUUUCACAAUUAUCUGAUUUUUAUAUUGCGCUUAAAAGUGAUGCUGGUUUAGAUCAACGAGUAUAUAAUUUACCAACCGUAUCAGAAGUUGUGAGUAUAUGGGUUCAACAUGAUAUCAAUAACUAUAUUCAUUCACCACAUAUUCGUAUAUAUACAAAAAGGGAUAAAAGUCAACUGGUAAAUUAUAAUUAUGGCUGUUACGAUCCAUUACAGUAUCCAUUGUUGUUCCCUUACAGUCAAAAUGGAUGGCAUUGUGGUAUUAAAAAAUUAAAUAUACUACUGAUAAAUCAACAAUGCGAAUAUACUGUGAACACGAAUAAGAGUUAAAGUAUGAUUGAGACGACAUGAAAUAAAUAAAAUGACCAACACCUUCUUAAUACGAAGAAGGCAAGUGGGAAAAAUUAAAUCCAGCAAAAGAUGAGUACUUACCACCAGUGAUUUGCUACUAAAUCGCACGAACAGAUAGCUAUUACAACACAACAAAGAUAGAAACCUAUAAUUAAAACAGAACAAACCAAAUAUAAAAAUGUCAAUAAUGAUAUCGUAUAAGUGGUUUCUAUAUGCUGAGGGAAA